UGGGGAAUAUUGGACAAUGGGGGCAACCCUGAUCCAGCCAUGCCGCGUGAGUGAUGAAGGCCUUCGGGUUGUAAAGCUCUUUUGGCGGGGACGAUGAUGACGGUACCCGCAGAAUAAGCCCCGGCUAACUUCGUGCCAGCAGCCGCGGUAAGACGAAGGGGGCUAGCGUUGUUCGGAAUUACUGGGCGUAAAGCGAGUGUAGGCGGUUGCCGUAGUCAGGUGUGAAAGCCUUGAGCUCAACUCAAGAAAUGCACUUGAUACUGGGUGACUAGAGGACCGGAGAGGAUAGUGGAAUUCCCAGUGUAGUGGUGAAAUACGUAGAGAUUGGGAAGAACACCAGUGGCGAAGGCGGCUAUCUGGACGGUUACUGACGCUAAGACUCGAGAGCGUGGGGAGCAAACAGGAUUAGAUACCCCUGGUAGUCCACGCCGUAAACGAUGGGUGCUAGACGUUGGCGAGCUUGCUCGUCAGUGUCGCGGCCUAACGCGUUAAGGCACCCCCGGCCCUGGGGGAGUACGGCCCGCAAAGGGUUUG
rnacentral:rRNA from 1 species